rnacentral:rRNA from 1 species
GAUGAACGCUGGCGGCGUGCUUAACACAUGCAAGUCGAACGGAAAGGCCCUGCUUUUGUGGGGUGCUCGAGUGGCGAACGGGUGAGUAACACGUGAGUAACCUGCCCUUGACUUUGGGAUAACUUCAGGAAACUGGGGCUAAUACCGGAUAGGAGCUCCUGCUGCAUGGUGGUGGUUGGAAAGUUUCGGCGGUUGGGGAUCGACUCGCGGCUUAUCAGCUUGUUGGUGGGGUAGUGGCUUACCAAGGCUUUGACGGGUAGCCGGCCUGAGAGGGUGAACGGCCACAUUGGGACUGAGAUACGGCCCAGACUCCUACGGGAGGCAGCAGUGGGGAAUAUUGCACAAUGGGCGGAAGCCUGAUGCAGCGACGCCGCGUGCGGGAUGACGGCCUUCGGGUUGUAAACCGCUUUCGCCUGUGACGAAGCGUGAGUGACGGUAAUGGGUAAAGAAGCACCGGCUAACUACGUG